UUCAUUGGGGUUGCGGAUGAUAUGUUGGCUCACUAUUCGUUAUCUGUGCAGGGAAUUGCCUGAUAGCGUAUAAAGCAAAACACAAAUCUAUCCAUGCAAGCAUUUACCGCUGGUCUAUCCGGCGGUUUUUUUUGCCUGUCGUUCAGGCCUUCUUUGUGUUUGGACGCUGUGGGAACAUGCAAAAAAAUGGCCCCUUGCGCAGUGAUACAGCAAGGGGCCGGUUCGGUUCAGGACUAUCGUCGUUCAUCAAUC
rnacentral:sRNA from 1 species